AUUGAACGCUGGCGGCAUGCUUUACACAUGCAAGUCGAACGGUAACAGGCUGCCAGGUGCUGACGAGUGGCGUACGGGUGAGUAAUGCAUCGGAACGUGCCCAGUCGUGGGGGGUAACUACUCGUAAGAGUAGCUAAUACCGCAUACGAUAUAUGGAUGAAAGCGGGGGACCGUAAGGCCUCGCGCGAUUGGAGCGGGCGAUAUCAGACCAGGUAGUUGGUGGGGUAAAGGUUGACCAAGCGAACGAUCUGUAGCAGCUCUGAGAGGACGACCAGCCACACUGGGACUGAGACACGGCCCAGACUCCUGCGGGGGGCAGCAGUGGGGAAUUUUGGGCAAUGGGGGAAAGCCUGAUCCAGCAAUGCCGCGUGCAGGAUGAAGGCCUUCGGGUUGUAAACUGCUUUUGUACGGAGCGAAGCGGCUCUGGUUAAUACCCGGGGCUAAUGACGGUACCGUAAGAAUAAGCACCGGCUAACUACGUG
rnacentral:rRNA from 1 species